rnacentral:rRNA from 1 species
UACAGAGACUGCAAGCGUUACUCGGAUUCACUGGGCGUAAAGGGAGCGCAGGCGGACUCAUGUGUCGGACGUGAAAUACCGGGGCUUAACCCCGGUGCUGCGUCCGAAACUAUGAGUCUAGAGACUUGGAGGGGUAAGCGGAAUUCUUGGUGGAGCAGUGAAAUGCGUAGAUAUCAAGAGGAACACCAACGGCGAAGGCAGCUUACUGGACAAGAUCUGACGCUCAGGCUCGAAAGCGUGGGGAGCAAAAGG